UAAUAUUGACUAAAGCAUUCAAAUUACACAAAAUUGUAUUUUAUGUAGCCAAGUAAAGUGACUGCCAAAUGCGGUUGUUUUUUGUUUUGUUUUGUUUAUGAGGUCAGUCUCGCUAUAUUGCCCAGGCUGGUCUUGAAUUCCUGGGCUCAAGCAAUCCUCCCGUCUUGGCCUCCUGAAUAGCUGGGACUAUAGGCAUGCACCACCGUGUUCGGCUUCUUUAGUGAUAUCUUCUGAGCACACAAAGCACCAGCUAACAUUAACAUGCUCAUGAUUUUGGCAACCCCGCCUAGGGGUAAAGUGUGAUGAAGCAUUUAUAAGUUAAAUCACCUCUGUCAUAAAUUGGUCUCACAGAAUAGUCCUUUCUUUUUUUACAGUCCAUUUUUUCCCACUUAUUUCUAUUCUUAAUUUCAAAAAUAUUUAAUUUUCUAAUUAUAUGGAGGACGCAGGACAGGAGUAGAUUUUUUAGAACAAACUUGGAGCCUUGGAAGCCACACACAGAGAUAUAUCCUCCAAACUCAAAAACAAGGUGGAUUUUCAAACACUUUAAGAACCAACUGACUUACAGUAAUUGUGUUGUAUUUUUCCAUCACAGACAAGAGCAUUUUGGACUAUCUUAUUAUAAAUCCAGAGUCCAGGGAAUUCCAAUGAGAUAAUGUCAUUGACCUUGAGUACCCUUGACACUGUGUGACUGCCACCAGGGUCCACAGGUCCAUAGCUCAUUGAGUCUGAGCCACAAAGACGUUUCAUGUGAGGGCAAAAGGGACAGCAAGAGCUCCUGGAUUCAGCAGGAUUUUUCUUCCUUCACAAGACUUUAGACAAAAGGGCUAGCACUCUCAAAGGCAUUUUUCUUCUUGCUGAUUUUUCUUCUUGGACUCUAAAGAACACUCCUUUUCAACUUUUCUGGAAUGUAGACAAUCCUGGGAAAAGUAUAUGGAUUUAUUUUCCACCUUUUUUUUUUUUUUUUAAACUGGAGCUGUAAUUACAGGGCUACUAAAGAUGUGAAGUAUAUAGUUAAGGUUUUGUCAGCACUUUUAUUGUAAUACUUAGUGAGAUUAGUCAUUUUAGUUGUUCCCUUUGUAUGCCAAAAAUGGAAGACAGCUGUUUGUGCACUAAAAACUGCUUUUUAAAGGAUAGUUCUCUCUGGUUAUCAAGCAUAUUUUGCCAUCAGGGAAACAUAUUUUAAAGCUUUUGCACUGUCAAAAUGAAGUGUGUAGGAAUGAUUGCUUUAGCUGUUACUUCUAAAUAACGACAGGAAGAUCUAACAUGUGGUAAUACUGCACAAGGAUGAUACAAAGUAUCUGGCUAGAUUCACAACUAUUCCAAUUACUAUCUCUUCCUGCAAGAUGUAUUUCUGAUGGCACUCAUCAGACCCUGAAUUCAUUCCCUGAGCUUGAGAGUGCUACAGAAGUGUUUAGGGCCAGUUCUGUGGCAGCCCUCAUGGAAACAAAGAAAAGCCUAAGGGCUGGUAACCUGCAUCACGACCAGCCCAUCACCCAAGAACACAGCCAGCUUCUUUUGCAAGGUUGUACCUGUUAGUCAAUCAAAUCUAAAUCUGAGAGUUGUGACUGACUUAGACCUAUUCAUCUUCCAAAGUAUAAACCUUAAGAAUUUGUUUCCACUAGUGCAUUAAAUAUUUGCCCUCCUAUUCAACCUAUAACCUAAUAGGAAAUCUACUGCGCUGCUUUGCAGAAUGAGUUUUUUUAAUGGUCCUGACUCUUAAGGUUUUACUGUAGUUACUGAGUAAGACCUAAAAACAUAAAACAAUUAACCAACACUAAUCAAUGUACUAAAAGACGUCUGUGGCAUGGAUGGAGAGGUACAGCUCAGACCUGCUUUUAAGAGAAGAGUCACUGCCCAUCUGUCAGGGCUGUGGGGAACAGACAACCUCCAGCUGUUAGCCUCUUCAGCUUGCAAGCCAAGGUCACACUCUUCUCAAGGUCACACUCUUGCCCAGACAGUAACUGAGCAAGGCAGUAGUACAGGACCUGGCCAUUUACACCCAAUGAGUGCUCCUCUAACAGGCUCUCUGCUACAGGACUCUUCACUGGACUGGCAGGAACUUUAUCAGAUCUGCAUGCCAUUUGAUGCCCUAAGCAGUUCCCAGCUUGACUUUUCCCUUUAGCUUAGUGAUGUGGGGGCCCAAAGAUCUAUUUUCCUUUCACAUAGCAAACCUUCAUAUGUACCUCCAAACCUUAAAUAUUUUGAAAAAAAAUUUAGAGGUCUCUUCCGCAAUUCUGGGACCACAAAUGCCAGAAAACUUCCAAAUACUUCACCCUCACAAAAGUAUGAGCUUUAAGAUCUGGACUUUGCCCUAUUUCUGUUAUUGUUGUUAUAGUAUUAUUUGUACAAUACAAGAUUGUCAGCUAAACAUGUAUAUUUUGCUUAAAAUUCAGGAUGUCAGGCAAACCUCCUGACUCAAGCACUGAAAUAAACACAAAUCACCAUUAUGAAGUCAAAUCUAUAAACAAGCUUGGAAACCAAUCCAAAAUCCCUCAGAUCCACACCUAUACACUCAGUGACUCAUGUCUAUGAGCCAUGGUGACCAUGCCCAGGGUUGGGGUCAGAAGAAUCAGGGGAAGUGCAAUAGCAAGGGGACUCUUCCACAGCCUUUUUUGAGGGUUCUUCAGUCCUGGCUAACUCUGCAUUCCAUUCUGGAGGCUGAAAGUCUGAGAUCAGGAAGCCAGUAUGGUCGGUUUCUGAUGAUGCUUCUCUUCCUGGCUUGUGGGCAGCUGCCUUUAUGCUGUGUGCUCACAUGACCGAGAUCACACCACUGCACUCCAGCCUGGUGACAGAGCGAGACUCCAUCUCCAAAAAAAAAAAGGAACCAUAAGAAUACUAUCAUAAUGCUGUUACCCUUGACUGAAGAUCCAAACAGAUUGGUGAAAUGAGGCUCUAGGAAGAUUAUCUGCAGUAUAUGCAGCCAGAUCGUUCUCUAUACUUUAACAUGGGGCCUCCCUGUGCAAGGUAUCUUGUGAGGGUAGCCUGAGUAAAAUGUCUAAAUCAUUAAAAUGUCUGGUCAUUUAACAUGAAGCAAUUUAUCAACACUUUGGUCACUAACACUUAACAGUGCAGCAUAAUUAUGCUUUCAAAGCCUUCUGUAGUCCCCAGCUACUUGGAGGCAGUGGAGGGAAGAUGGCUUGAGCCCAGGAGUUCCAAGUUGUAGUGCACUAUCAUCAUGCCACUGCAUCUGCACUCCAGCCUGGGUGACAGAAUGAAACUCUGUGUACUGGGCCAGGAAAAGCGUGCUUAUUUCUUGGGCUCCCUCAAACCCCACCUCUAGUUGUCUGUCUAUGCAUUUCAUCUUCCUCGCUAGACAACAUGCUCAUUGAGGGCAAGUUUGCAUAUCUCUCCCUAUGGUUUGUAAGGCUCAGAGCUUAGCACAUACAGAUACCAGACAGGUACGUGAAGAGCAAACAUGGGCAGAAAACUGAGGUCCAAUCUACACCUACGCCAUGCCAAACACCACGUGAAGCCUUUAUCUACCUUAGUUCAUGCUACCCAUACACACUCCUAUGAGAUAGGAUUUAACAUUCCCAAAUUGCAGG
rnacentral:lncRNA from 1 species